GGUCAAGUUUAAGAGCAUUCGGUGGAUGCCUUGGCACCAGGAGCCGAAGAAGGACGUUGUAGCCUGCGAUAAGCCUCGGGAGCUGGCAAACGAGCUGUGAUCCGAGGGUGUCCGAAUGGGGAACCCGGCCAGAGUCAUGUCUGGUUACCCGCGCCUGAAUAUAUAGGGCGUGUGGGGGAACGCGGGGAAGUGAAACAUCUCAGUACCCGCAGGAAGAGAUAUUCCGUGAGUAGUGGCGAGCGAAAGCGGACGAGGCUAAACCGGGGGUGUGUGACAGCCGGCGGGCGUUGCACCCUCGGGGUCGUGGGACCUGCUGACCAGCUCUGCCGGGCU
rnacentral:ncRNA from 1 species